rnacentral:rRNA from 1 species
UACGGGGGGGAGCAAGCGUUGUUCGGAAUCACUGGGCGUAAAGCGCGCGUAGGCGGCUUUGCAAGUCGGGUGUGAAAUCCCCAGGCUUAACCUGGGAACUGCAUUCGAGACUGCAUUGCUAGAGUAUGGGAGAGGGAAGUGGAAUUUCCGGUGUAGCGGUGAAAUGCGUAGAUAUCGGAAGGAACAUCAGUGGCGAAAGCGACUUCCUGGACCAAUACUGACGCUGAGGAGCGAAAAGCGUGGGGAGCGAACAGG